rnacentral:ncRNA from 1 species
UUAAAGCCGAUGAAUUGGAAAAAUCAUAGUUUGGACAAGUAGAAAUUUUGCGGAUGAUGCAAGCAAAACGAUAACAUGAUUUGCGACACCUUGGAGGUCAUUGUUGUUUAAGACAGUGCGUGGUUGCGCGAUAAGCAGACCAAGCGAUACAUGAACUUGUAUCGGAAUUUAAGGUGGUACCGCGUAAAAACGCCCUUAAC